AGCUGCCCACCCUGGCUAACAGCGAGGAGAGCUGAAAUAGAUGGAGAAGCUAUACCGACAAGAAAUUCUGGAGCUGGAAAAUGCCUAAAGAACUGAUUUUGGUGUUACAACAAAGGCAGACUUGUCUUAUGAGAAUCAAAAUUAUACUUAAUUGGAUUCUGCUUUGGGAGUUUCUGUCAAUCACAGAGCUGCGUGAAUUGGAAAAGACACACGACUGCAACAAUGAUGAACUUCUCCAGAGUCGCUCUGAGUGCUGGGGAUCACACUUCAUAAAGAGAUGUAGUAUCUUCAGAAUAAUUGUAUUGUUCUAAAGGGUAUCUUCUGAAUACCAAAAAUAACUUAAUUUUCUUUGAGGGCACACAUGAGGAGGAGACAUUCUUAGACUGAAGGUUGUGAAUAUUUCUGUAUUAGACUUCUCCACCUGAAGCAGCCUUGACUGCCUUCCUCCAUGUGUAAUUCCUGAGAAAAACAUAAACAAAUUGAGAAUUCCCUGUCCAGAAAACAGCCUGCCUUUGAUGCCAACCUGCAUAUCUGUGCAUCAUCUAGAGGAGGCAGGUGGUAAAUUAGCAGCAGGUACAGACUGCUAAUGAGUGAAUGUUUGUUGUUCUGGAAUAUUUGAGCUACUUAUUUUAA